rnacentral:tRNA from 1 species
GCAAUGGUAGUUCAGCGGUAGAGUUCUUUCCUUCCAUGCGGGAGACCCCGGUUGGAUUCCUGGCCAAUGCG